UACAGACGGGGCAAGCGUUGUUCGGAAUUACUGGGCGUAAAGGGCGCGUAGGCGGCCUUCUAAGUCGAACGUGAAAUCCCUGGGCUCAACCCAGGAACUGCGUCCGAUACUGGAAGGCUUGAAUCCGGGAGAGGGAUGCGGAAUUCCAGGUGUAGCGGUGAAAUGCGUAGAUAUCUGGAGGAACACCGGUGGCGAAGGCGGCAUCCUGGACCGGCAUUGACGCUGAGGCGCGAAAGCCAGGGGAGCAAACGGG
rnacentral:rRNA from 1 species